rnacentral:tRNA from 1 species
GUGUACAUGGUCUUAGGAUAAUUGCCUUCCAAGCAAUAGACCCGGGUUCGACUCCCGGCAGACGCA